CCUCACCGCGGCCCCAGGAGGCUGCUUCCCAAGGAACCCGAGACCCAGAGGGACCAGACCAUUGCCAAGAACAAGAAGACGUUGAUUCGUGGAGCCGGCGGAGGCCCCGCGCCUCGGUGACAGCGCUCGGCCGCGGCGGAGCGGAAGGAGCCGCGCUGGCUUCAUUCGCAUUUUCUACCGAAGCACUUAAUCCCCCUUGACGUGGCUGACACACAGAACACGCACAAUAAAAACAGCUAUUUUUAUUUGGUCUUGGAGUGGCUGGGGGGGGGGGNNNNNNNNNNNNNNNNNNNNNNNNNNNNNNNNNNNNNNNNNNNNNNNNNGCAGCGGCCCGGGGCGCUCCCGGCUCCAUGGGCGAGUCAGGGCUCGGGCCCUGGCCUGACUCGGCAGCGCACGCCGACCUCCUGGGGAGCAGAAGCACCGCUGUCCUGUUGCUGGGGGUUGCUUUGUUGCUUUUGCGCUCCAUUUAAACGAAUGUGACUGCAUAAGGCAGGAGCGCGGACGGCGUGACCGAGCCCAUUUUCCCGAGGCCCCGCCCCCCGCCUGCAGGUGCCGCGGCUCGUUCCACGGGCGAGCGCCCCCCUCCCGCCUGCUGCUUCCCAGGGGGCCGCUGCCGUCAGUCUGGGCAAGGCUGGAGCUCGUCUUUUCCUUUCCUCUUACAAACAAGACUGCCUCCGUGGCCGGGCUAUGGGGCUCGCGGUCCCAGAUGCGUCAGGAGUCGGUUCCCGGAAAGCGGCCCAACCGGGGGCUCUCCACCGCGUUCCACAAUGGCAGGGCUCACGUCAUUUUCCAUUGGUUUUGGACUGUGAUGCACAGUCCUUUGGGGAUGUUCUCAAGUUCAGGCUCCUUCAGAGCCAGGAGAGAAAAGCCCAACAGCAAAACAAGUGGAAAGGGGAAGACUCUGGAUCUUCUACCAACAUACGCAAACUGUGCACUGAAGUCAAGUGCUGAUGACGUGAGUUGAGUCCAGGGGAUGCAGGCCAAGGAUUGUCGGUCACAGCUGCAAACUUCCCCUUCAUAUCCUUGAGCUGAUUAGUCCCCAGAUCAACCAAUAAAGUAAAGUCAUAUGCUUUGUUCA
rnacentral:lncRNA from 1 species